rnacentral:snoRNA from 1 species
UUUUCUGAUGAUGAUUAAAAGUUUAACUUUCGUUCUUCUGAUUUGGAUUUGAUUAUCCGUGAAGAAACAAAAUGAUAAUCUUAUCUGAAGGCAU